rnacentral:tRNA from 1 species
GAAGGUAUAGCUAAGUGGUAGAGCACUUGCUUAGUGUUCACAAGGUCCUGGGUUCAAUCCCCAAUACCUCCA